UGCCAGAGUUCAUUAUGUGCUCAGAUGCAUAGGGGGCCUCACUGGCUACAGAAGAAAGAGAGGGUUUGCUUACAAGCCUGGGCAGGGUGGGACUUUGGAGCAAGUCCAGCUUCUGCCUCCUCUCAUUUCCCAGCAUCUCUCCCAGUUUAAAGCCCAGAAGAUAAGUUUUAGAUCUGAUUGUUUGGGGGGAAUGUUUUUGAAUACCAUUUGACAUUUCUUAGGUUCUUGCUGUGUAGCCUAGGUUGGCUAGAACUUGAAGUCUGCCAGUUGUACGAACACUCGAGUGCUGGGAUUACAGAUAUGUGUCACCAUAUUCCCGCAAACUGUGAAACUCUGAAGGACACUCACUGGUUUAAAGCUUUCCGUGAAUGAGAGAGUCAUGCAAGCAUGCCGCUGGCUAGGCCAGUCUCAGGACCAGGAUGAAUGCUCACUCGGCACUGCUUUCUCCCACUGCAAAGCUGUUGCUCAGGGGGCUGACUUCCACCAACAGCAGCCAAUUGAUUCCCAGCCCUCACACAUUCAAAUUUCGCUUACACUAGCCAUCAAAGCCCAAGUCGCUGGUUUAAAGCCAGUUGGGUCUAAGCGGGACACCUUAAAGUCACUCCUUUCUGAACCAGUUUCAUGGAGUGGAGACCCCCUGAGGAGGAACCCUGCUGGCUUUGGACUGAAUUACUCCAUCACCUUUGACGAUAUGGGCCACACAUGGGGAACCGGGAAUACUGGCAGCACUUUUUUCCUCUAUUUUUUUUUUACUCUGCUUCCUUGUUUCUACAACACCACCAGUGGGUGCUGUGUAUAUAGAUGUGAUGUUUAAUGCUGAUUGUCAAUUAUCAGGAUCUAGAGUCGCCUAGGAGACAAGCUCUGGCAUGCCCAGUGAAGGAUUAUGUAGAUUAGAUUAGCCUCUGAGUAUGCUUGUGAGGGAUUAGCUGGAUUAGCUAAUUAGUUUGAUUGACUGACAAGAAGAUCCACCUUAAUUAUGGGUGGUAUCACUCCUUGGGUUGGGAUCUUGGACUAAA